UGGGCUGGUCGAAAGACCCGGGUCAUCUUAUGGCGGUAAGACACCC
rnacentral:sRNA from 12 species